CCUACGGGAGGCCGCAGUGGAGAAUAUUGCACAGUGGGAGAAACCCUGAUGCAGCGACCCCGCGAGAGGGAUGACGGCCUUCGGUUUGUAAACCUCUUUCAGCAGGGAAGAAGCGAAUGUGACGGUACCUGCAGAAGAAGCGCCGGCUAUCUACGUGCCAGCAGCCGCGGUAAUACGUAGGGCGCGAGCGUUGUCCGGAAUUAUUGGGCGUAAAGAGCUCGUACGCGUCUUGUCACGUCGGUUGUGAAAGCCCGGGGCUUAACCCCGGGUCUGCAGUCGAUACGGGCAGGCUAGAUUUCGAUAGGAGAUAUCAGAUUUCGUGGUGUAGCGGUGAUGUGCGCAUAUCUCAAGAAGAACACCGGUGGAGAAGGCAGAUCUCUGGGCCGAUACUGACUCUGAAGAGCAAAGUGUGGAGAGCAACGAGAUAUAUCCCUGAUAUCCACGCCGUCACGGGGGCUCUAUGUGUGGAGAUUUCCACGUCUCCGUGCCCAUCUACGCAU
rnacentral:rRNA from 1 species